rnacentral:rRNA from 1 species
GACGAACGCUGGCGGCGUGCCUAAUACAUGCAAGUCGAACGCUGAAGGAGGAGCUUGCUUCUCCGGAUGAGUUGCGAACGGGUGAGUAACGCGUAGGUAACCUGCCUGGUAGCGGGGGAUAACUAUUGGAAACGAUAGCUAAUACCGCAUAACAGUAGAUAUCGCAUGAUAUCUGCUUGAAAGGUGCAAUUGCAUCACUACCAGAUGGACCUGCGUUGUAUUAGCUAGUUGGUGAGGUAACGGCUCACCAAGGCGACGAUACAUAGCCGACCUGAGAGGGUGAUCGGCCACACUGGGACUGAGACACGGCCCAGACUCCUACGGGAGGCAGCAGUAGGGAAUCUUCGGCAAUGGACGGAAGUCUGACCGAGCAACGCCGCGUGAGUGAAGAAGGUUUUCGGAUCGUAAAGCUCUGUUGUAAGAGAAGAACGAGUGUGAGAGUGGAAAGUUCACACUGUGACGGUAGCUUACCAGAAAGGGACGGCUAACUACGUG